CUCAUCAAGAGCGGUGGAGGGACUGGCCCUGAGAAGCCGCAGCAACCAUUGCAGAGCAGAAUCUGUAAACGGUGCUAAGUCCGGCAGCACUUUAGCUGUGAGAUGAGG
rnacentral:ncRNA from 1 species